UACAGAGGUCUCAAGCGUUGUUCGGAUUUAUUGGGCGUAAAGGGUGCGUAGGCGGCGAGCUAAGUUGAGCGUAAAAUCUUGAGGCUUAACCUCGAGCGGCGUUCAAUACUGGCUCGCUUGAGUGCUGAAAAGGAGGUUGGAAUUUACGGUGUAGCAGUGAAAUGCGUAGAUAUCGUAAGGAACACCUGUGGCGAAAGCGAACCUCUGGGAAGCAACUGACGCUGAGGCACGAAGGCCAGGGGAGCAAACGGG
rnacentral:rRNA from 1 species